AGACCUCCAGAAACCAUGUGUCAAGCUCGGAUUGCCUUAGACAGGUGCAAUUUAAGAACAGCUUUCAUCCUCUUUUCUCUCAUAUUGUCACACUAUGUGUUCUGACUUCUGGCUCCUUUCCUCACAAGAAGCUCACCCAGCUGGAACUCUUAUGGGACCUUGGCACCAGAGACCACAAAUUCCUCUUUGAAGUUUUCUAACAGCAACAAUGGUAUUUCUGACUUGGCUUUCUUGUAUUUCUCUCACGUUAACAAAAUUGGUUCAGCAUCUACCAUGGGCUACAUGCUGAGCUACAGAGUUUCGCUCUGUCGCCCAGGCUGGAGUGCAGUGGCGCGCGAUCUCGGUUCACUGCAAGCUCCACCUCCCGGGUUCACGCCAUUCUCCUGCCUCAGCCUCCUGAGUAGCUGGGACUACAGGCGCCCGCCACCACACCCAGAUGGAUAAACAGAGGCAACCCGAGGAUAAAGGCCUUGCUCAGUGUCACACAUUUCAGUCACUAAAUAAGACACAAUGGAUGCCAGUAUUCUCAUCCCCUCACAAAUAAAGAGCCUUCAAGCUCUUGCAGUCAACAAGAACUUUUGGAAUGAUUUCACUGCCUGAAAAGGCAGAUACAUAGGUGACACCCACAAAUAGGAAGAAAAUCAACCUGAACCUGAGUGUGUGGGCUCACUGACUCUAAGCAGUAGAGACAGAAGAAAAAGUUUUAGCAAAGAAGGGUUCUGAAAGAAAAUAAAUAUAGCUCGUUAUCAAGUGCUGUUUUUACACAGUAAAACAUGGGCAAAAUUACUCUUCUUUAAGUAGUAAUUCUUAUCUCUUGAUUAAGUCACCUACUCAUUCAUUUAAUAAAUACAUACUGAUUGUUUUCUAUGUGUUGAGCACUCAUCUCUGUAUUGGAAAUAUAAUAAUGACCAAAGUUGACAAUAGUAAUAACAAUAAUAGCUAAUAUAGCAGGCACUAAUAAUUAUUUGUUGAGUAAUAUGUCAAAAUUCAGUGUGAACAGCAUUCUAUUUGGGGCUGCAUCCACUGACUAUAACACAGCUAAUCUAUCUGAAAUGUUCCAGCUUUGGGCCUCUCUAACAGAAGAAGCUGUUGUUGGGCCUGCCUCUAGUUGGCGAUGCAUCCACCAAUGAGAAUGAAUUUAUGAUCGACCACUCUUCCUGUAAAGGCCGCUGGAACUGACAGCAUUGUGAUUUUCUUUUACUGUUAGUUUUAAAUUACUAGAACCAACUCAAUUACUAGAACGAACUUUACUUCUUUGUUUCCUACUUAUCAAAACAGUAAAAACAACAAGUAAAAGAAAUGCCAUCUUAAUAUUGUUUUGAUGACAAAACAGUAUUCCUUUUAGUUGUGCUUCAAAUGGAAUAAGAUGCAAACAGGCUUGGUAUGGUGGCUCACCCCUGUAAUCCCAGCCCUUUGGGAGGCCAAGGUGGAAGGAUUGCUUGAGGCCAUGAGUUUGAGACCAGCCUGCGCAACAUAGCAAGACCGUGUCUCUACAAAAAAUAAAAAAUUAGCUGAGUGUAGUGGUGUGUGCUUGUGGUCCCAGCUACUUUUGAGGCUGAGGAGGGAGAAUCUCUUGAGCCCAGAAGGUCGAAGUUGCAGUGAGCCGUGAUCGUGCCAUUGCUCUCCAGCUUGGACAACAAAGCAAGACCCUAUGUCAAAAAAUAAAUAAAUAAAAGACAUAAACAUA
ensembl:lncRNA LUCAT1 lung cancer associated transcript 1